GGCUGCUGUGGUGUGGGUGUGUGUGUGACUUUCAAACAGCUUCCAGUCACAAAUGCAAGCUGCACCUGUGCAACUUCAAACCUCAGUUAGUAAACAAUUUCACGAUUGGCAAACACAAAGAUGAGUACAGAUGAGGCAUGCAAUGACCAGCCCAAGGAAAAUCAGCAAAGAAGUGGUACAAGAAAUUCACAGCCUACUUAGAUCAACUGUUCAGUCGUCGUGAGUGUUGAGCACUCAGCUAUCGGGAGGGAACCACACAACUUUGUGGAGGCAUAAAUGCGGGUCCUUGCUGACAUUGCGCCUAGAGGCCUACUAUAAGGCACCGAUGACAAAUGUUGCCCUUGGCCACUGGGAAACGUUCCAGCGCUCAUGUUUUCUGUCCCAGGAGAGCAACGUCAACCCAUCUGACAUCAAUCAGAUGGGGGAGAAAUAAUGAAGGCCACCACACCAGGCCAGCAAGAUGGCGCCGACAGACAUGGCAGCUCUGCUUCUAGCUCCUUAGCAACUUUGCAGUAUUUUGUUUUUUUUGGUGUGUUAUUUCUUACAUUAUUAGCCCAGAAUGUUUUUUAUGUUAUUACGUACAGCCGGAAAUAACUUUUGGAUAUCAGAGCGGCGGUAACUCGCCAGCAUUACAAUAGGAAUACGACUUUCCUGAAUUGGAUCCUUCAUUCGUACCACCCAGGCAAUUGAACUUAUCCUAUGCUGCUCCAAGACACCUUGGAGAAGAAAGAUUCGGAGUGGACUUCUAAUCCGACUCAGGAGGUGAAGGGUUACAGAGGGGUAUAAGUGGGGUGUGAGCAGCUCGUCCUUGAUUGCAAGGACAAGGAUGAGAGGCACAGCCAGCCCACGCACACCCACUGAACUGAACGCUGCCCCACCCCGCCCUGUGCUCAGCCCCUCAGAUCUUUCUCUCCCUCUAAAGAUCUAAGGUCUUUUCCUCUCCAGAUCUCAGGUCUGGUCUCAGGCUAUUUCGGUCUACUGCUAUUUCUAGACAGUAGACAGGGCUCAAGCACCAACAGUGUUGUGUGCCUAACCAUUUCUUGAUCUACAAAUACACCUGCAUAUCAGAGAGAGGGGAUACGUGUUUGUUUUAACUUAAUUUCAAGUGACUCUUUAACAGUCUAUAUGGUUCGAGAACCACCUGCACAGGUAUCAGUUUGUUUAUUAUGACUUUAUCCCCCUGACUUUGUUAUUUAUAUAGUCCCAGUAACUCUGUCAUAUCUAUUGCAACACUAUUGAUUCUGAUCAAAUAUACGUUCUUUCUUUGUCUUAAGUA